rnacentral:lncRNA from 1 species
GUGGAAUGAGAGUACCCUUUGGCAGCAUAGAAAACUCCAAUUUUCUUGGAAAAGGAGGACUCAGACCAUGUCCUUUACCUGCAUCAGAAGGUUGAAUUGGAGGGCCUUUUGGUAAUACACCAAACUUUGAUUUUGGUUGAAAUGAUAGAGGAGGUAGAUUUUUGCUAUGUCCCUUACUUGGACCAGAUGGUGGAAUUAGAGAUCUAGUUGAUAGCAUGUGGCCAAAUGUAGCCCCUCCUCCAUGAAACUGCCCAUGCUUCUCUCCUUUAUUUGUGAUGAGCUUACUUGCAUCUGGGGAGAAAGAGGCAAAGCCCAACACUAGCACAAGCACCAAGGCCACCACCAAUGACAAUUUUUGACAGGUUAGUGCCAUGCUCUUCUUCAUGAAUCUCUUGUUUUCUAUUUUUCCUUUUUGUUGCUUCUGAGUGAAAAUCAUGCCAUACUUGCUCAUAUAGGAAUUAGGUUAUACUUCACUAAGAAAUUCUUUAAAGUUUUUACUUUAUUUUCCUCAAGUGCUUGUUUGCUAUUUAAUAGCACUAUCAAUCCAAGUUAGGCUCUAUGCCAUUGUAUUUCAUCUGUAUAUUCGUCUGUAGCCAGUAAAGUAUGCCAUAUGAGGUUCACCAACUAUGGAAGCUUAUCAAAUGUUUUCUUCGUUGAAGGAUAGGAGGAAAUUUUAUCUUAAAGGAAAGUCAUUUUCACCCUACUAGCCUGGUAUUCAUAAAUAUGAGUUAUAAAUACAAAUUCGAUAUGAAUACAUAUUUAUGGUAAGUUUCCAUUGUGGCCGCAACAUUUGGUUGCAAGUGUCCUGUUGUAGUCUGUAGUCUUGUAGACUACCUAAGAAAAAAAAAAGUAGCAUCAUUUUGCAGUCCCGAAGCAUUCUAUUCUCCAUCAUUAGUCAUACCAAGUUAACAACUUUUGUAGCAAAGACUAAUCUUUUUAUUCAUCUUUCUCAUGAAACUACCAUUUCAUGGCUUCAUUUACAUACUCUACUUAAGCUUCUAGACCAACAAAGAAAAAAACUUGAGUUGAAAAUUUUCGCAUUCUACACUACAUAACCACUACCUCUGCUACUAGCUCAUCUAUCAACGAGUUCUCUACUUCCCUACCUAUUAUGUCUAUGUCGUCUCCCAAAUCCAACCACAGCGAGUCUCUUUCGAGCACUUUCUCCAGAUUGUCCUCAUUUGCGUUCUCUUCUUGGCUUGCCAGCAACUUGCACAGAACACCAUGGAGUACACUUCUAUGGAUCCACUUGGGACCAACUCUUUUGUUUGCAGGCCUCACCCAUGGGUGUGGAUCAGUGAAUUGCUCAAACAUCUCCAGAAGCCCUGAAUUUAUCCGGUCGAACAGUAAUCUCCUCUCAGGCUUUGGCCAAGAAGUCUGAUCAGAGUAUUUCUUCUCAAGCUCUUCGAACAGUAAAGGGCUCACAGGACAUUCUGGAGUGUGCCAUGUUGUCAAAAAGGUACCCGAGUCAGCACUGUUUAAACCAGAUUCAGUUAAAAUAUCGGCCAAGUACGAGGACUCCCAGCUCCCUUGAUCUCUAUGAAGUCCUAUUGCAUCUGAAAACCCAGUAGAUUCUUCACCAACUUCUUCAUCACUUGAGAUUUCCAUGGGUCCCUCUGCAUAUGGUUCUGACUCCAGCUUGAGUAGCUGAAGCUGCAUCCGAAGCCCUAACAACCAAAUAGAAUAUGAAAAUUAAGGCAAACAAAAGGAAUAGAUCAAUUAACUAAACGAAUGUGCAACACAGAAGGAAGAAAAGGUAAUCAUAGUCAUAAUAGAAGUCAAAACAGAUUCAGUUCAACAAAUUCAAUUGAUAUGGCGGACAAAAUUUCAACUCCCACCAACGACUACAGCCCACCUUAUCCAACAUCCACACUCAGAAAUUGCAAAAUCAACUGACUUCUCGCACAUGAUAUAAUUGGAAAGCAGCAAGGCAAUAGUUUAUUCUAUUCCAGCACCUACAUAUUCCAUAAGGAAACUAGCACUAGAAACCUAAAAAAUAAUCAAUAUAAAUGGUCUUCCAAUUACCUUGCAGGUCAGCAUUGAGACUCUCAAAGCAUUCAGGAGAAGAUGAUGCAUCAUCAGUGAAAGGAACUUCCAGAACGGAAACAGGACUGGGUUGAUCCGCCUCCUUAGUUCUUGCAGGCGAUUCUAUUCCAGGUACAGGGUGG